rnacentral:rRNA from 1 species
UCCUACGGGAGGCAGCAGUGGGGAAUAUUGCACAAUUGGCGAAAGCCUGAUGCAGCAACGCCGCGUGAGCGAUGAAGGCCUUGGGUCGUAAAGCUCUGUCCUAGGGAAGAAUAAAUGACGGUACCCUUGGAGGAAGUCCCGGCUAACUACGGCCAGCAGCCGCGGUAAUACGUAGGGGGCUAGCGUUAUCCGGAAUUAUUUGGCGUAAAGAGUGCGUAGGUGGAUUUGUAAGCGCGGGGUGAAAGGCAAUAGCUCAACUAUUGUAAGCCCUGCGAACUGUGAGACUUGAGUGCAGGAGAGGAAAGCGGAAUUCCUAGUGUAGCGGUGAAAUGCGUAGAUAUUAGGAGGAACACCAGUGGCGAAGGCGGCUUUCUGGACUGUAACUGACACUGAGGCAGGAAAGCGGGGGGAGCAAACAGGAUUAGAGACCCUGGUAGUCCACACCGUAAACGAUGAGCACUAGGUGUCGGGUCCGCAAGGUUUCGGUGCCGCAGUUAACGCAUUUAGUGCUCCGCCUGGGGUGUACGCACGCAAGUGUGAAACUCAAAGGAAUUGACGGGGACCCGCACAAGCAGCGGAGCAUGUGGUUUAAUUCGAAGCAACG